rnacentral:rRNA from 1 species
UACGUAGGGUGCAAGCGUUAAUCGGAAUUACUGGGCGUAAAGCGUGCGCAGGCGGCUAUGCAAGACAGAUGUGAAAUCCCCGGGCUCAACCUGGGAACUGCAUUUGUGACUGUGUGGCUAGAGUACGGUAGAGGGGGAUGGAAUUCCGCGUGUAGCAGUGAAAUGCGUAGAUAUGCGGAGGAACACCGAUGGCGAAGGCAAUCCCCUGGACCUGUACUGACGCUCAUGCACGAAAGCGUGGGGAGCAAACAGG